rnacentral:rRNA from 1 species
AAACGGUUGCUAAUACCCCAUAUGCUUUCGAGUGAAAUGGGUUGCCGCCUAAAGAGAAGCUUGCGGCUGAUUAGCUUGUUGGUGAGGUAAUGGCUCACCAAGGCGACGAUCAGUAUCUGGUUUGAGAGGAUGAUCAGACACACUGGAACUGAGACAUGGUCCAGACUCCUACGGGAGGCAGCAGUGGGGAAUUUUCCGCAAUGGGCGAAAGCCUGACGGAGCAAUACCGCGUGAGGGAUGACGGCCUAUGGGUUGUAAACCUCUUUUUUCAGGGAGGAAUAAAUGACGUGUACCUGAAGAAUAAGCAUCGGCUAACUCCGUGCCAGCAGCCGCGGUAAGACGGAGGAUGCAAGUGUUAUCCGGAAUCACUGGGCGUAAAGCGUCUGUAGGUGGUCAAAUAAGUCAACUGUUAAAUCUUGAGGCUCAACCUCAAAAUCGCAGUCGAAACUAUUCGACUAGAGUAUAGUAGGGGUAAAGGGAAUUUCCAGUGGAGCGGUGAAAUGCGUAGAUAUUGGAAGGAACACCGAUGGCGAAGGCACUUUACUGGGCUAUUACUAACACUCAGAGACGAAAACUAGGGUAGCA